rnacentral:tRNA from 1 species
GGGAGUAUGGAUCAAGUGAGAGAUCACUUGCCUAGCAAGUGCAAGGUCCUAAGUUCAAACCCUAGUAUUGCCA